ACUCAUGGCCUGGGGCGGGUCAGACCCGACUCCAAUGGAUUAAAACAAAAUAGCCAGCACAUUGGAAACCCUAAAUCCAAACGAAGCCGCCACCUCCCUUUUUGAACUUCUUCUUCACGAAUGCUCAGGAACAAAAGGCAAUGGAAACUCUUCCAACCAUGGCGCUCACGAUCGGUCUCGCUAGUUUUCAUCUUCUGCUUUAUCUCACACUUCUUCCUCAAACGACCGUGGCUCCUUUAUGAUAACCUUUCUCUCUCGAAAAAAAAUACACGGAAACGACACAAAAAAAAACGACCAACAACCAUAAGUUGGGAACGAGAUUUGGUUUUGGUAACUGUUUGGUAACGAGAUUUGGGAAUGAGAUUUGAUUUUGGUAACUGUUUGGCAACGAGAUUUGACAACGAGAUUUGGGAAUGAGAUUUGGUUUUAGCAACUGUUUGGGAACGAGAUUUGGUAACGAGUUUUGGUUUUGGUAACUGGUUUUAGUGCUACUCUAACAAAAAUGAAACUCUGAGGUGAUAAUAUUGAUGCACUUAUUUAUGAAUGCGGAAAAUAAAAUAGACAGAAACAAAUAAACAAAAGCAAUGAGAACCUUACCUGAAGUGAGAGAUUAAGCGACGAGACCCAAGGAAGAAGGAAUUUGAAAAGUUGAAGGAUGAUGGAUAAGGAAUGGAUGCAGAGGCAUCAAAGUGGUUUGCUAUACUUUUGCCAUUCUAAUGAAACUGUAUUGCUGUAUUUUUCUGCACCUUUGAACUUGUCUUGUUGUGACAAAAACUUUGUUGUACCUUUAAUUACUUUUCUGCAGCAGUACUCUUUAUUUCCUUUUCUUUUCAAGUUUCUUGGUUAUGCCUUAAUUUGCAAAGCAUUUUCUAUUUUCUGUUA